rnacentral:rRNA from 1 species
UACGAAGGGGGCGAGCGUUGUUCGGAUUUACUGGGCGUAAAGGGCGCGCAGGCGGCUCAUUUUGUCAGGCGUGAAAGCCCCGGGCUUAACCUGGGAACUGCGUUUGAUACGGAUGGGCUAGAGUUCGGGAGAGGAGAGUGGAAUUCCCAGUGUAGAGGUGAAAUUCGUAGAUAUUGGGAGGAACACCGGUGGCGAAGGCGGCUCUCUGGACCGAGACUGACGCUGAGACGCGAAAGCGUGGGGAGCGAACAGG